rnacentral:rRNA from 1 species
GGACUACUAGGGUUUCUAAUCCUGUUUGCUCCCCACGCUUUCGCACCUCAGCGUCAGUAUCAGUCCAGCGAGUCGCCUUCGCCACUGGUGUUCCACCGAAUAUCUACGAAUUUCACCUCUACACUCGGUAUUCCACUCGCCUCUCCUGACCUCGAGACCUGCAGUCUAGAAGGCAAUUCCCGGGUUGAGCCCGGGGCUUUCACCCCCUACUUACAGAUCCGCCUACGUGCGCUUUACGCCCAGUAAUUCCGAACAACGCUAGCCCCCUUCGUAUUACCGCGGCUGCUGGCAC